AUUGAACGCUGGCGGCAUGCUUUACACAUGCAAGUCGAACGGCAGCGCGGGGCAACCUGGCGGCGAGUGGCGAACGGGUGAGUAAUACAUCGGAACGUACCCAGAAGUGGGGGAUAACGUAGCGAAAGUUACGCUAAUACCGCAUACGUUCUACGGAAGAAAGUGGGGGACCUUCGGGCCUCAUGCUUUUGGAGCGGCCGAUGUCUGAUUAGCUAGUUGGUGAGGUAAAGGCUCACCAAGGCGACGAUCAGUAGCUGGUCUGAGAGGACGACCAGCCACACUGGGACUGAGACACGGCCCAGACUCAUACGGGAGGCAGCAGUGGGGAAUUUUGGACAAUGGGCGCAAGCCUGAUCCAGCAAUGCCGCGUGAGUGAAGAAGGCCUUCGGGUUGUAAAGCUCUUUUGUCAGGGAAGAAACGGCUGAGGUUAAUACCUUUGGCUAAUGACGGUACCUGAAGAAUAAGCACCGGCUAACUACGUGCCAGCAGCCGCGGUAA
rnacentral:rRNA from 1 species